AAAAACCAGCCGCGGGCGCGCUAUGGACACCACUGGGUGUACGCAGAGUGCCCUGGGACUUAAAGGCUCAGCGACUGGAGCAUAAAGGCGGUGAGCCACCAUGAGAGGGGACAGAGGCUUUUUUGUGGAACAAACGUCCUUCCUGCCCAUCAAAGCUGCACAGACACUCCAGCACUUGAAAGCCUUUUGAAAAUGUACUUCCAUUGCUGUUCAACAAAGGAGAUGCCGUGCCAAGUGAAGUCAGCCCUGUGCAGCACUCCAGCACCAUUCAAAAGCUGCAAUCCCAGUAUGGAAAAGCCAAAUGCAACAAAAUGCCAUUCUGGGCUUUCUUACAAAAGAAUCUGAGAGAAAACAUCAACGACAGGUGGACAGCGAGGCCAAAACCUUAAAUAAUGCUUGAUAAGCUUUGUUGUGAGGUAGGCUGUAUACCAUUGAAAUAAUGUAGAAAUGUAUGCACCUUACUUUAUGCUAGGAAGCAUUUAUUAUGAACCAUUUAAUUAUCUCAUCUGCCGAGGUCACAGCCAACAAGCGGUGAAGGGCGAUGAUGUAAUGACAAUCAAGUGGUUGUCCCAUUAGUGGCUUUUUCCCCGUGGCCCAAGGUUUUAAAGGGUAAGACAAAGGGGAAGGGCUAAGGGGUGGAAUAUGAUUCAACCUUAUUUGUACCCGCUUCUUCCUUUCUUCUGCUCACUACAUUGCACCGCGACAGAUUGUUCCUCAGCCGCCAUUAUUAGGAGCUAGUCCCCCCUUUUCCGCUACAUAGCAAAGAUCGUGACUAUUGCACUUCACACUCACCAAUUGAAACACAUCCUAAGUCCAUGCCCAUAUCUUCAGCUACCGAUGGUAGGAAUUUUUGUCUGCCUCUCAAGGAGAUCGCAAAAUGACUAAACAGUGCAGCAGUGGCUCAGGAGGUAGAGCACAUCUUCCAGAAACCGGAAGGUUGGCGGUUUGAUCCUCGCUUCCUCCACCCAGUCUUUGUGUUAUUAUUAAAACCCUGCGGAAUCAAGAGAUUCAGAGAUCUGGCUCCUCCGUGCCUCUCUGUGAGGACACUUGGCAGGCGGUCACGACCCAGAGGGCGCCCAUUGAACACCUGGAUGAGACACCAGGUGAGGUCACCGGUGAUGUUGCAUUCAUGGCCAACACUGCCAAGCAUUGGUCUUGUGAGUGCUCCCCAACUUAAAUGAAAUCAGGGAAUAUUAAGACUAAUGCCAACAACUCCUCCUGUAAGUACUUCUACCUCCUAAAAGGUUUUUUCUUUCGUAUUUGCACAUGUGCGCCACAAACAUUUGCACUCCACCAGACGUGUGAUUGUUUCUGAGGAGUGGCAAAUUUAUCCUCCGCCUGCCAACGGAGCCCGGGCCCCAUUUUCUUGUUCAGUGGAGUGGAAGUGGAUGGUUCAGCUCUGUUUGCCAAUGUGCUACCAGAGAGAUCUAAUGCAAACACAAUUAGAACAGCGCCCGCGUCUGUUGUGCAUAAAUUUGAUUGACAGUUGGAAGGCAGCAUUAGCGAGGUGCGUAUACUCUGCAAAUCUGAGAACAAUUGCUUUGGUUGGAGGAGAGAACCAAGUUAUGCCGGCCUUAGCCUUUGGAGCUGCAGGUUAUGCUGGAUAUCUGCAGUCCCCCCGGGGGUUCCAGACUUACAGGGUUCAAGCAACCCACAGAAGUCUGAAAAUAUGUUGGCUGUUGGAAUUCUUGGAGAAAUAAGGCAUAUCGAAACAUUGGAAGAUAUGAUGUCCUUUUUUUAGAACAAGGCAAGCAUCUCUGCUUCCAUUCCAAUGUUCCUCACACAACACUUUCUGUUGCAUGGGCUUAGAAACCCCCUGCAGUCCAAGGCUUUGAUGCGGGGCAGUGCUUGGAAGUGGGCUACUGAUACAUUUAUUGAUUGCUCUGAACCGCAAGCACUCCCCCCGCAGUUCUGUGUUCCUUUUUCUUCGCUUGGUGGAUGACAAAUAGCAAAGAAACACUUUUCACUCUGCAAUCAAAAGUUGUUUCUCGAGCUUUCUUACCAAUGACACGCCAUGACGGAUAGAAUUUGCCUUUUUGUGUGUUUUUAAUGGCAGUGUACUUUGGCAUCUGGGUUGUUUUUAAGGAACUAUACUGGAGUGUUCGCGAAUGCAGUGUGUGGAAAGAGCUUUAUUUCUCCCAAUGAAUGGUUGGUAUGAAUGGUUGUAUUCACACAAUCAUUUUGAAUAAAGGUACACAAACAAUUUCUGCGGUGGUUGAUGAGAUACCGUUAUAUAUUAUAUACCGGCAGUAGCGGAAGGUAAAAGUGAUCAGAACUAAAUUGUAGGGGUGUCGCAAGAUCUCGUAUCUCGUUUGGAGAACAGCUGUAUCGUGAGAACAAGGCAGCCAGAAGCCAAUCAGACUGUGAACAAUGGCAUGACUACUAUGAACGAUAAUACAGUAAUAUGGAAGUGGCGGUGCGCAAGGCAUUAUUGGAAGCGUACAUUAAGUGCUUUACGCGCACACUGCAGUCCAACCUACCUUGGUGUUCACAGCGUCAGCGAGUGACAUGUGGCUGUUUUUUUUCCAUUGAACAGCUGCUUGCUACUUGUUGAUGUCCAAGCAGAAACUGUAGUCCUACAUUUGAUCAAUUUUACUUAAGAUUUGUCAGAAUGGACACCCAUUGCAUUUGUCCCAGCGCCAACUUUCAAGUACCGGCAAUCACCAGUUCCCGUUUUAUAACACACCUCAUACAUAGAAGAGAUAUGUGUUGACAAUUUGGCAACAUGGACGCUGUAUUUAGCCAGUAAGGUUGUGCUUUCGGUAAUGCAAUAAAUUAAAUAAUGAAAUAAAUUAAGUCAUCAACAAAGGUGAAGAAUCCGCGGCGCGGGAGUGAGCUCCAUCUCCGUAACGGCGUGCAAUGCGUGUCUUAAAGCUUUAAAAAAAAAAACCUCCACAAUGCAACCCAGCCCCUGACCAACAGAGCCAAGAAAGUAGAGUUUGGGCGCACUCGCCUUCCUGACGAAACACACGUGGGUGUCCAAAGUGUGGCGCCGGGUCCAUCUGUGGAACAUGGCUCACUGCAGAAAUAAAAAGCAAAGAAAUAAAGAGCAAAAGUGGAAACAGAGAGCAAAAAGUUAAGGAUACUAAUAACUAAUUAAAAAAAACACAAAGAUUUGUCUUUAAAUGUAUAUAUGUAUAAUGUAUUUUUUAAAAUAAAUUCUUCUAAAUUGUUUUAUUUAUUAUUAAUAUCAAAGGACAGCUGGACAGCCCUGACGUAAAUAGACAAAGACAAGUAGACAAGAGAAAAACAGUGAGCUGUAUUAUUAUCAUUAUUAUUAUACAGUUGAUUAGCAUAACAGUGGUUUAUUUGGUCACAAAAAAUGUACACCAUAACAUCUUUGAGUGUCAAUUUGUGGGACAAUAAACAUUUCAAAAUGCACCUGCAUUGUUUUAUGACUCAGUACUUGGUACAUCACCUUGGUGCAUCGUCUCGUCUUGUGAGUUGGGUGUCUUGUGGCACCCCUACUAAAUUGCCAUGAGGGCUGCACAAACAAUCAAAAAUAAAAUAGCCUAAGCCUAUUGUGAGCACCCCGUGGGGGCCCGCCCGCCAGAGACACAAAUAGUGAAACUUCACACUUAAAAUGUAGAACGACUUAUGCGGAUUAUAAUCGAUGCAAUACGGAGUAACACAUGCGUUAGAUACACAACAUACUCCGUAAAUCUAUAUUAAGUCUAUACUAAGUAAAUGGUAGCAUUUUCUCCCUCAACCUUCCCUAACAAUUUGCUGCUUGGGUGUCCUGAAGACGAUGACAUCUCUCUUUGAGCCUCACAAAUGUGGCCUGUGGCUCUCAAAGUGUCUGAUGGAGUCGUAUCCUUGGGUGAGUAAGUGAAACUUAUCUGGAGACAAAUAUUUGGAGUCAGACGUUGUCACAGAGAGUAAAUAGCUCUUUGCACCUGCUACUCGUCUUGUUCAAACUUCUGAUGGGCUGCAGUCCAUCAUGGAGGAGACACAUUUUGGUUGGAUUUGUCAGUCCUGCCUCCUCGCAGUGGAGGAAGUCUCUGUUGGCAGGGGGCGUCGAUGCUACUGAUGUCACAGAAAAAAGAAAAACAGGACUUACGUCGUGUUAAAUCUCUUCUCAGCAGCUGUCAGUCAAUCAGGUUCACAUCCUCAUGGUGUGCAGAGCAUGUUAACCCUUUGUGCUCUCCACAGGGGUCCAAUAUGGGAUUUCACUGGCUGGUUUGACUAUUUCAUCAUGUUGGAGGAGCCAGACUUGAAUAUAUUUGCACCUGUGACACAUCCUGAUUACCUAAGCAUAGUAAUAUUGCGUAACAACAGAGCUCACAACGAACUAAACAACCCCAUCAAAAUCGCAGGGGGGGGGGUUACCACUCCACAUGCCAGUCUUAGUCACGGUGUCUUAAAAGAAAGAGCAAAAGCAUCACACAGCAACGCAAUAGGUAGACAACAACAGACAAGACACUACCAAUAAUGCAGAACCAAAAACUAUGUGAGCUCAAAACGUGUAACUUAGCAGCCGUUUACAGUACAGUACAGCAAAGCACGCUGGGAAACAGGAAGUGCUGUUGUCAAAACACUGCUAAUGGUGAGCAGAAAAAACGCGGAAAUAGCGGCAGGCAGAUGUGGUAGUAGACUCGGCCACACUUGGCCACGCCCAAUCGCAAGUAUUUCUCAGAUGCUUGCUUACGUGACUUUUACAACGUCGUUUACAGCCACGUCAAGAAGCUAAGUGCUGAUGCUGUAUCCAUUAGCUUCACAACAGAUAUGUCUUUAGAUCAGGGGCGGCCAUUACGUCGAUCACGAGCUACCGGUAGAUCGCCAAGGUAGUUUGGGUCGAUCGCGUAAACGUCACUUUGCAGUUGUCAUAUGACAUCAGUCAGCUGACAUUAAGCUCCCCUCCUGAUUCGCGCUUGCUCCCCCGCAGCGUUUCAAGCUACACACGAAGAUGCAACGUUCAUCUUUAUUAUUGUGAUUAUGGAUGAACUAACUCUGUGGUAAGAUGUCUCUACAGUAUCUAUAACUAAAGUUAUCUGUCCACUUGUAGCGGCUAGCUACGUAGAAAAAAAGUGUAUUGUUUACUGGCUUUGCUUGGCGUCAUGAACUCUACUACAGAAAUCAGUGUUUUCUACACGUUGGCUUCUUAAACUAUUAUUUCAUGAUGAAAUUAAAAAUGUGCCCAUUGGUGAAACCUUUUCAAUAUGUUGCCUUGACUUGGGCUGCAUUGUCUUUUGCAUCAUCAUUUUAAAUUCUUGUAUAUGGGUAAUGUUUGAUAGCUAAUGCUAACUGGAUGUAAUACAUGAACUGUGUGCCCUAAUGAACGUUACAUAGCUAAUUUGACUGACAUAUUACCAGUACUCAGGUUAUGUACACAACUAUUUAGGAGUUAUGUGUAUUAUCUUUAUUUCCAUAUUGAAGUGAAUUAUGAUAGCAACUACUUUGAUUACCUGUAAACUUUGAAAAUGUGAAUAUGAAAUACUAAUCAGUAAUAUUUACAACUUUACUGGUUACAUUUUGUAUAUGUUAUAUGUUUUAUAGAAAGAGGUAGAUCAUUUUGACUUCUACUUGCAUGCUGAGAAAGCGCGUGCACUCCUUAAAUAUACAUGUAUAACGUACAUAAAUACAUACUCAGAUUUUAUUAAAAUAAAUAUAGUAAAUAUAUAUAUACUUUCUAUAUUUACAGUAGUAGGUAGAUCUUUGGGACUUGGUCAUUUUAAAAGUAGCUCGCAGGCUAAAAACGUGUGAGCACCCCUGCUUUAGAUAGAUACUUGUACUUGACUCAUGAUUUUUUUCAUGACUAUAUUGUUGAGACAAAAUGUAUUAAAUAAAUAUGGUACU